rnacentral:lncRNA from 1 species
CAUUAAAACAAGUGACCUCACUUCCUUCUUUCCAAUCUGAUUUCAGAAAUGAUAGUGUGUUCAUUGACCCUGCAAAAAGGUAGGCAAGCGAAGGGUGAAUAGCCAGCCUGCAUUUCCAACAGCCGAGAAGCAGUGCCGACAUUCAAGUACGGAGCGAAGUGCUCUUUCGCACGCAGGUUUACCGGAGCCUUCAACCUUGACCCGAAGGGAACACCUUUUCUGGAAGUGACAGUUCUCCUUCCUUGGCUUCAGCACAAAAUAAAAAACAAAAUUUCCACUGAAUUCAGGAGCAAAAAAACAUGGGAAAGAAAAGAAUUCUAGAAGUCAGACCUAUAAUGUAUCCCAGAUGUCAACUGGUACUGGAUGUCGUAAAAAUGGAUUCGUGGGUCUGCAGAGAAGACUAGAGUCAGAAGAGGAGGGAUCUACGGACAGAGCCCCACGUACGUCCAGCUUUUCACAGGUGGGUGGCAAAGCAUCUGGCAGGAGACAGUGAGCGUGAUCUCGACACAGAGGCGAGGAUGUGACUCUUGCUUAAACACCGAGAUGGCCCUCAUAACAUGGAAGCAUCUGUGACAGUCCCCGGCAAGUGAGAUGUUUCUGGAGAGGGUAAACUGUGCCCGUGGGUGUGGAGGAGGAGAAAGGGGUCCAAGGCUUAUCACGAG